AAUGCCAUACUCCGAGAACAAUAUCUGGCUCUAUACAACAUUGUGCGUCAUAAGGGUGGUACUAUCGCCACGGUAAUGGAAUCAUUUCCGCCAAAUGUGACGUUUAGAAAAGAUUUAAUUGGACCCAGACUUCAAUCAUGGUAUAUCCUGCUCCAGCGGUUGUCCACGGUGCAUUUGUCACAUGGGUCUGAUGUAUUUUGAUGGAACCUACAUGGGAAUGGACAAUUCUCAGUGGAGUUUAUGUAUAAAGCGUUAAUUCAGUCUGAUGUGCCAGUUGAUAAUAUUAAGAAGAUCUGA
rnacentral:rRNA from 1 species